rnacentral:lncRNA from 1 species
GGAGGAGGAGAAGGAGGGGACAUAUACACAUUUUCUGCACAUUAAUAGAUUAUGGCGAUCUUGGAACCAGAACCAAGAGGUCCUACAACAGCGGGAUCCUGUUUUGAGGGUUCUGUUUGCAAAAGAAAGCACACUAGUGAUAUUUAUUAAAUAUUUACUAGGAAAUAAACAUAACUAGCUACAAAAGAGCUUGCAUUUGAACAAGCAUGCUCAAAAAUGAGUGGCAGCCCAUUUUUAUUUAUUUUAAACAGAAAUGCACAGAAGUAUACAAAUAUGAAUAACUUUCAGCAUGUCAUGAAUGCAGAUGCUAUCUAAAGAAUACCUCCCAGAAAUAUAUCAUAUUGAGGCUACUGGGUGAUAGCCCUGAUCUAAGAGUCUCGGGAGAAUAGCUAGGUAAUAAUAUUUUUUAGAUUCAGAAUUGAUAGUAAAUUCUUCCUUGGCUUUAUAGGGGAAAGCUAGUGAGUUCUAAUAAUUAUCUGCAGUCGAAUAGACACCACAGUAAAUCUUCCAGCUAUUUCAAAGACGUUAUCAAGAUUACAGCCCUGGCAUUGGACCUUUAAUGCUCUAGAAAGACAGCUGCGCGAAGACUUGAUGUUGACAUACAGAAACACCUGUCAUGUUGUCCUUUAUUAUAUAAAUAUGUAUGUAUAUUAUGCCAAGUUGGGGUUAAAAUGCAUAAGGUUUUUCACAAGUAUGUGAUUUGAAUGUUGAAUAUUUUACAACUGAACAAUCAGGGAUGAUACAUUCUUAUGUGAAGAGCAAAUCCUAUUAAUCCUAUUCAUAAGCAAUUUAUUAAGCUCAGAGAGAAUCACAACACUGGAAGCUUAGUGAGUGCCUUGUUUUAACACCUAGAAGAGACACAGUUAUCAAACUGUUCUUAUAAGUAUCAUGCUGAAACUUAAUAAACUGGGCCAAACAAUUCUAGGAUCGAACUGUGUUCUUAAUAUAUCAGCAGGAAAACCCCCUUCUACAUACUAGUCUUGGUUAUAAAAAUGACCUUUGGGUUUUUUUUUUGUAGUAGAUAUAAAUAACAUCUCUAAAUACAAACAGACACGUGAUAGCUGAAUGGUAGAGCACAUGUUUUCCAUGCAAAAAAUCCCAGAUUCAAUCCUUGCAAUCCAGAUAUGACCCUCUGCCAAAUUCUGGAGUGGCACCUCUAUGCAGUGUAUGGUAUA